rnacentral:rRNA from 1 species
UACGUAGGGUGCGAGCGUUGUCCGGAAUUAUUGGGCGUAAAGGGCUCGUAGGCGGUCUGUCGCGUCGGGAGUGAAAACUCAGGGCUUAACCCUGAGCCUGCUUCCGAUACGGGCAGACUAGAGGUAUGCAGGGGAGAACGGAAUUCCUGGUGUAGCGGUGGGAAUGCGCAGAUAUCAGGAGGAACACCGGUGGCGAAGGCGGUUCUCUGGGCAUUACCUGACGCUGAGGAGCGAAAGUGUGGGGAGCGAACAGG